rnacentral:rRNA from 2 species
GGAAGUAAAAGUCGUAACAAGGUCUCCGUUGGUGAACCAGCGGAGGGAUCAUUACCGAGUUUAC